UAAUUUGAGAGUUUGAUCCUGGCUCAGGACGAACGCUGGCGGUGUGCCUAAUACAUGCAAGUCGAACGAACUCUGGUAUUGAUUGGUGCUUGCAUCAUGAUUUACAUUUGAGUGAGUGGCGAACUGGUGAGUAACACGUGGGAAACCUGCCCAGAAGCGGGGGAUAACACCUGGAAACAGAUGCUAAUACCGCAUAACAACUUGGACCGCAUGGUCCGAGUUUGAAAGAUGGCUUCGGCUAUCACUUUUGGAUGGUCCCGCGGCGUAUUAGCUAGAUGGUGGGGUAACGGCUCACCAUGGCAAUGAUACGUAGCCGACCUGAGAGGGUAAUCGGCCACAUUGGGACUGAGACACGGCCCAAACUCCUACGGGAGGCAGCAGUAGGGAAUCUUCCACAAUGGACGAAAGUCUGAUGGAGCAACGCCGCGUGAGUGAAGAAGGGUUUCGGCUCGUAAAACUCUGUUGUUAAAGAAGAACAUAUCUGAGAGUAACUGUUCAGGUAUUGACGGUAUUUAACCAGAAAGCCACGGCUAACUACGUGCCAGCAGCCGCGGUAAUACGUAGGUGGCAAGCGUUGUCCGGAUUUAUUGGGCGUAAAGCGAGCGCAGGCGGUUUUUUAAGUCUGAUGUGAAAGCCUUCGGCUCAACCGAAGAAGUGCAUCGGAAACUGGGAAACUUGAGUGCAGAAGAGGACAGUGGAACUCCAUGUGUAGCGGUGAAAUGCGUAGAUAUAUGGAAGAACACCAGUGGCGAAGGCGGCUGUCUGGUCUGUAACUGACGCUGAGGCUCGAAAGUAUGGGUAGCAAACAGGAUUAGAUACCCUGGUAGUCCAUACCGUAAACGAUGAAUGCUAAGUGUUGGAGGGUUUCCGCCCUUCAGUGCUGCAGCUAACGCAUUAAGCAUUCCGCCUGGGGAGUACGGCCGCAAGGCUGAAACUCAAAGGAAUUGACGGGGGCCCGCACAAGCGGUGGAGCAUGUGGUUUAAUUCGAAGCUACGCGAAGAACCUUACCAGGUCUUGACAUACUAUGCAAAUCUAAGAGAUUAGACGUUCCCUUCGGGGACAUGGAUACAGGUGGUGCAUGGUUGUCGUCAGCUCGUGUCGUGAGAUGUUGGGUUAAGUCCCGCAACGAGCGCAACCCUUAUUAUCAGUUGCCAGCAUUAAGUUGGGCACUCUGGUGAGACUGCCGGUGACAAACCGGAGGAAGGUGGGGAUGACGUCAAAUCAUCAUGCCCCUUAUGACCUGGGCUACACACGUGCUACAAUGGAUGGUACAACGAGUUGCGAACUCGCGAGAGUAAGCUAAUCUCUUAAAGCCAUUCUCAGUUCGGAUUGUAGGCUGCAACUCGCCUACAUGAAGUCGGAAUCGCUAGUAAUCGCGGAUCAGCAUGCCGCGGUGAAUACGUUCCCGGGCCUUGUACACACCGCCCGUCACACCAUGAGAGUUUGUAACACCCAAAGUCGGUGGGGUAACCUUUUAGGAACCAGCCGCCUAAGGUGGGACAGAUGAUUAGGGUGAAGUCGUAACAAGGUAGCCGUAGGAGAACCUGCGGCUGGAUCACCUCCUUU
rnacentral:rRNA from 2 species